UACGAAGGGUGCAAACGUUGCUCGGGAUUAUUGGGCGUAAAGCGCACGUAGGCGGCCUUGUAAGUCGGAUGUGAAAUCCCUCGGCUUAACCGAGGACGUGCAUCCGAAACUGUGAGGCUCGAGUAUGGAAGAGGGUCGCAGAAUUCCCGGUGUAGAGGUGAAAUUCGUAGAUAUCGGGAGGAAUACCAGUGGCGAAGGCGGCGACCUGGGCCAAUACUGACGCUGAGGUGCGAAAGCGUGGGGAGCAAACAGG
rnacentral:rRNA from 1 species